rnacentral:lncRNA from 1 species
UCCUAGAUCUGUAGGUAUAGAAAAGAAAUUAGGGUUUCGAAAGAAACCCAUAUGGAGAUAAAUAACUUGCUUAGAAAACCCAAGGACCGUUGGAAAUACAACGUGAUAUUGCUUGAAAUCGCACUGGAGUAGCCAAGAACAUGCAAGUGACGAACCCUAGAAGCAAGUUGGCAUGGCCAUGGGCUCUUGAAGACCUUAGAUAAGGCAAGAAUGGAAUGAGAGAAGCCAUUAGAGGUUCAAGAGAUGAUAUAUAGCAAGAGAGUAGGAAGUCAGCGAUUGAAGACUAAGGUUAGAUUGAGACUGUUUUGAGAGAGGAGAUGAUCUUAGGG